rnacentral:lncRNA from 1 species
UGUCCAGAAAGUGCGAUGAAUUGGGUCGAAAUAUUGCUUCUAUUUUACGUCUACUGUCAAGCCUUAUCUGACGAUCUCAUUCCACAAAACAGAACCAAGCGUACGGUUUACCCAGUCUGGAAGCCACCGCCGAACAAGGCUUAUGACCUAUGUGGGUUUGAACUGAAAGACAACGCCACAUGCAAG